GGUCUGCUCUGAAGGUCAGGGCCACGGACUGUUCUAGAUUUUAAAGCAUGUUAGACACAGUUUUACUUUGAGGCAGAGCGACUUACAAGAGGGGUGCCUGCGAGAGAUUAAAAGAUUACACUUGUCGUCCCCUGCUUUCAUGGGAAAAGUACCAACUUCUCUUUUGGCCUGUAGACUCAGACAAAACCAGCGUGGUGGCCUUCAUGGGCUGUUGAGCAGAGGUGGAGGAGAGCAGCAGGGAAGAGAUAGGGCAUCCUGGACUCCCCUCACGAGUCACCGAGGGUAAUUUUCUCAGAAGUCUAGAUGGAUGCCAGUAAGCCCUCUGUCCAGACAGGGGAGGUGAUAGAGCUCGCUUUGUGUUUCCAGUUGAAAACAAAGGCUCGUUAGGAUUCGCGGCAGCCUGUGCGGCCCUGGGGCUCCAGGGACCAGCUGGCACCUGGACGGCGGCUGUGAAAAAACACUGGAGGCAGAACUCAGCUGAGCUGCAACCUCGUGAGCUCAAGUGGGGGUCACCCCUAGCUGAGGUUACCGCUGAGGGAAUGGGGUCAUCCGCCCCGGAGAACCUGAGCGGCUGCGCGGGGACGCGGACAAAAGCCGCUUUGUGGAGGCGGCGAGUCCUUCAACGGCGCCACCGUGUGGCAGCGCCGGGAAGCGGCGGCGGCGGCGGGCGCCGCGGAUUCUGAGGCCGACUCUCGCACGCCCUGACCUUCUCCCACCUUCUCUGACAGGACUCCAUGGUGACAGCCUGCCCCAUGAGGCUCUGCCCAGCUCUUAGAGGACACCACUCUCCAGGGGCUGCCCCAAACCUGGUGAUGCUCUUCAGGGCCUGGGGAGGAGGCUGAAGAGGCAGUUCUGGGCCUGAACUUCCCUGAUUCUCCCUGUCACAGCGGUUCUCAGCUCUCUCUCUCUGCCCCAUCGCCAUCCCCAAACCAUCUGCGAGGUACCAACUCUUCCCCCAAUGACUCAUAUCCCACCUCUGCCCCUGAGCAGCCCCCCACCCAACAUCCAGUCUUCUCAGGACUGCAACCUGCCUCCACAGUCAUCUCCCUGUUGCUGUCGUGUUUCCAGGGACAGACCAAUCAACAGUAACCAUCGUCUGCAAUCCCUUUCCCUUCCUCCUCACAUCCUGUCCCUGCCUAGAAGUGGGACAGUGUUGUGAUCCUCGUUUUACAGGUGACGGAGGCCCAUCACGGUUCUACUCCCAUAACGAACUCAUCCUCAGGAAGAUCACCAGUCUGGUGCCUUCACACACACACCUGUUCCCAGGGGCCACUUCAGCCCGGCUCUGAGAUUUCACUGCAUACAACCCACGUCUACAUUUAAGGUUUCAAAGGAAACCAGAAAAAAGGGAUUUUGCCUGCAAUUUCUCCCUGUUCUCUGGAGUGACCCUAGUGCUUCCUGUGUGCUCUCCCCUCCCCCCAUCCCUUGACAUGAUGGACCCUUUCCUCUUGGGAACUGAAAGAGAAGAAAAUCAUCCAUGAUAAGUAGCAGCUGUCAAAUAGGAAGCUUCAUGCUCCGGGAAAAGCGAAAUCUCCCACCAUGCAAACUCAUGUACUACAGGUUCAAGUACACUUUUCUUCUGUAGGGAAAUUGGAAAGACUGAAAUGAGCUCACCCAUCAGUGUUACCUCCAGCCCUCCUUGCUUUGUGGUAUUCUACAACUCUGAAAGUUAUAGAAAAUGGAUAGUAAUACAAGUAA